UUGGGGUAGCCAAAAAAGACAACUCUGUUCCGCAGAGUAGCUGUUGACAUUAUAGUUGCGCAGGAACUUUGUUUACUCUAGAGAACCUAGGGCAAAUCGCACAUCCCUGUGGCGGCAACUUUGCAUGCGGAUGUCAUCCAUAUCAACUUUUGAUGCCAGUUUCUGCGCCUAUCAUGGUGACCACGGGUAAUGAGGAGUCAGGGUUCCAUUCCGUACAGGGACCCUGAGAAACAACUACCACAUGCAAGGAAGGCAGCAGGCGUGCAAAUGACCCACUCCCGACGCGGGAAGGUAGUGACGA